UACGUAGGGCGCAAGCGUUGUCCGGAAUUACUGGGCGUAAAGCGUGCGCAGGCGGUUCGUCGUGUCCGAUGUGAAAGCCCCGGGCUCAACCUGGGAAUGGCAUUGGAAACUGGCGGGCUGGAGUGUGGCAGAGGGGGUGGAAGUUCCACGUGUAGCAGUGAAAUGCGUAGAGAUGUGGAGGAACACCGAUGGCGAAGGCAGCCCCUGGGCUAACACUGACGCUCGAGGCACGAAAGCGUGGGGAGCAAACAGG
rnacentral:rRNA from 1 species